rnacentral:rRNA from 1 species
GGACUACCGGGGUAUCUAAUCCUGUUUGCUCCCCACGCUUUCGCGUCUGAGUGUCAGUCACCGUCCAGAAGGCCGCCUUCGCCACCGGUAUUCCUCCCAAUAUCUACGGAUUUCACCCCUACAUUGGGAAUUCUGCCUUCCUCUCCGGGACUCUAGCCAAGCAGUUUCGAAUGCAGUUCCCGAGUUAAGCCCGGGGCUUUCACAUUCGACUUACUUAGCCACCUGCACGCGCUUUACGCCCAGUAAUUCCGAACAACGCUUGCGCCCUCCGUAUUACCGCGGCUGCUGGCAC